rnacentral:rRNA from 1 species
UUAAUUGAAGAGUUUGAUCAUGGCUCAGAUUGAACGCUGGCGGCAGGCCUAACACAUGCAAGUCGAGCGGCAGCGGAAAGUAGCUUGCUACUUUGCCGGCGAGCGGCGGACGGGUGAGUAAUGUCUGGGAAACUGCCUGAUGGAGGGGGAUAACUACUGGAAACGGUAGCUAAUACCGCAUGACCUCGCAAGAGCAAAGU